rnacentral:lncRNA from 1 species
AUCUGUAUCCAGGGCUGACAUUCUCUGAAGAGGAUCCUCGAAGAGUCCAGCUCUUGCCUUCCAAGCUGCCCCGAGCUAGGGCAUCGCCAAGACUCUCUAGAAAAAGAAUGUCCACUGUCCUCUCUGGAAGGUACGUCCCUGGAUUUCAAUCUCUUCCUUUUAGUCUCGCUUAUAAUGCUGGUUUUGCAAACAAGCUACUUCUUCCUUCCUGUUGUGCCCUUAGGAUGAAAACAUAGUCGUUAAUUUGUAAAAACCACCUCGCGUGCCCCCUGGGGUGACUCUCAGCCAGGACCAGCCAGUGGUCUCUUUCCCAGCACAGGCUGGAAGGGGAAGCCAAGAGCUGUUGGCCUCGCAGGAUGAGAUCCCGGCUCAUAUGCUGUCUUCUUAACUAGAUCCAGCUCUUCUGGUUUCUCAGAGCCCCUCCUGCCAACUGCAGCAACCACAGGCGGAUGCCACUGUGAACACAGCCCACACGUGGAAGCAUGAAUGAGUGCAGAGAGAAGCUGGUGAGGCCCGCUUCUGUAUGAGACAGUGGGCAGGUUUCAAGCAGAACCCUGGAGCCUCUAUGGGUCCAGCGCAGCUCUGGUCCUGACUCAGUCAACCAUAAGCGAGCUACCCACUCUCUCUGGAUUCCGCUUCCUUCUCAAGAGCUCAGAGGUAUGCCGUGGGGGUUUCCUCCUCCGAGGAGUGGGGUGAAUACACCAAAAGCGAGCCCCGUCCACUGCUGCGGCUUCAGGGCAAAAGGCGAAAGGCCCUGAGAUCCCAUGGGUUGAGCAUGGUUUGAAGAUGUAUAUUUUUGGAGCCUGGGGGUGGGGGAGCACCGAGAAAAUAGGGUACAGAGGACACGCGGGGCUCAUAGUCCACCCACCCUUAAAUCCACAGUGAAAUGAGACCUGGCUUGAGCUCCCAGGAUGGGCAGGGGAUGGACAGAAGUCUUCAGUCUUCCUAAAGAAUGACAUCCUGCCAUCCCAGCUCCAUGCAGCAGUAGACUUUUCACCUGGCACCAGAGCCGACAAAUCUCAGCGGGCGAGCGGGUCAGCUGUUUGGAAAUGAAGCUUUGCAGAACCCAGGCUAUGCCUGUCUAUUUGCAUAGUGUCCAAGGCGGCUUUUGCCCUACGCAGGCAACACUGAGCGUUUCAACAGAGACCAUGUGGCAAGCCUGAAAUGUUGGCUAUCAGCCCUUUAGAGAAAAAGGUGCCAGUCCCUGUUUGAGCAACGUGGAUGGCAAGGACGAGAGAACCCCCAGGGUACAGCUCCAGCAAAGGAUGUCUGCAGUCAGGCCACCGCAGGGAAUGUGCUGGAUGCCAGGGCUAUGACCUCCGAGAAGCCAGGCCUCGGAGGACCUGAAGCUAUCACGACACAUCCUUCCUGGGCGAUGUCGGCAUCUCUCUUUCACCCCAAGUCGCUUUCCACUGCGGCUUUCUUCAAACUCCCUUGCCUUCCCUCCGCUGGCACAUGGCCCUUUAGGGGUUUUUGGUUUUCUGCUUUUGUUUUUGGACGGCAACACGAGACAUUCUUGGGACAGGGAUCGAACCUGUGCCACAGCAGUGACAAUGCCGGAUCCUUAACUUGCUGAGUCACUAGGGAACUCCAGCCGUUCAGCUUUGGUCUCUCUUGCUAAUGGGCCCCGUCUCUGCGUUUCCGGUUAUGACACACACGGAGGAUUCUGAUGGGCCCAGAUCAUUUAUUCAAGUCUGAUUCUUGGAGAUUCCUGGUCAGCCUGGGACUGUCCCCUCCCCUCGGGGAGGGCCCCACCCCUGGCUCCAUAUCCAUGACCAGGGGGCAGAGUCAUAUGGGGCAGAAUGAGCUGCCCCCUCUGCAGGGGCCGUAGGCACAGAGCCCUCCUUCAAGGAGGCCAUGGGGCAGGACCUGAACUUAGCCAACGCAACUUGUGAAGAACCUGGCCCUUCCUCAAAGUCAAAGCGAAUUCUUCUGGCGCUCUUAUUCAUGACACUGACCCCAAAGCCAGCAUCUGAGAGAUCAACAUGGCCCCUCGGAAGAGGGGAAUGGACCCGACCUGGAGUUUGCAGAUGCCUCUAAGGUCAACAGCAGACCAAAGCCAUCUAGGGGAGAGAUGAGACCAAGUAUGACAGCCCACAGGAUUUCAGAAAUCACAGCGUUGUCCUAACGGCACCAACAGGAAGCGAAGGAACAGAAGGAAACCUAGCCUGGCAGACUUGUCCUGAUUUUGCUAUAAACACACUGAGGUUAGAUGCCCAUGGUACCUCCUUCAGAUCCGCGCCCGGGCCCUGGCUGCCCACCCAUCGAAUGAUGGGGCUGCAUCAGACCCGUGGUGCUCAAAGGGCCCCCGGCCCGGGCAGGAUCAGGCUGUGACCCCGCUACCACCACCUUUCUGCCUCUCACCACCGCAAGACGGUUCGACUCGAGAGGCUUGGCCUCCAGAAAGACCCAGCUGCUUCCCAGCCUGCUGGAAAAUGUUGAUUUCUAGUUUUCCCUUCAGCCAAAUUCAGUGGGUAGCGUGGCUUCCCAACACAAGCCUCUGUCACAAUCCGAUUCCUCAAGGUGAGCCCAUGCCAGUCUGCCAUCCAUGAUAAACAGCUCCAGACCCGCAGCCCCAACCCAGGGGAAGCCAGCCUGCUGAGGAUCUGGAAAGUUCCCCGCGGGCAGAUAGAUGGUAGCUGCCCUUCAGGCGCAGACCGAGGCCAAGCCACAAGCUGGGAGGACAACGCGAGCCUAAGCCUCCAACCAGGGAUGCAAAUUGUCCCCGCAGAGCCUGGCCAGGUCAGAGGGCCCCCCCUCCCCAGAGGAGCUGGAACUCUGAGUGACAGCUGAGUGGGGAGAGAGCCUCCAGCAUCCCCCCAAGUCACCGAGAGGUCUCUGAAACAGGUGGCUCAAAUUUCCUUGAAAACCCAGAAUAAUCCCCCAUUUGAAGUGUGCGCGAAUCUUGUUGUCACCACCUCGUAUUAAUAGGCAGGCACCACAGAAGGAAAACGGGGUUUUCGGCUGCAUUUUUGCACGCUGACUUGCCUGACAAGCUCAAUAAAAGCUUAAAUAAAUAUUAAAAAACACACAGAAAGUCAGGCUGGUUUAAAUUAACUUCCCAAGCACUUCACCUACUGUAGGAAGAAAUUAUAAUAAAAUGUCAGAGCAAAAAUAAACCGCGCAUGGAAAUAAAAAUAAAACAUAAAAUGCCCUCUUACAACUAACUGCUUGGUACGAUUUAGCUCCUAACAACCUAUCAUUGUGCGUGAAGUUUCCACAGGCCGCAAGUGUAUUUGGGCCUUAGGAAUGUUGACUCUGAAAAAUUCAUAUUUUAACACCUUGGGAAACAGUUCCCUGCCCGGAAGUCUGAUGGAUGUAAACCAUUAAAGACUUUUUCUCC